UACAGAGGUCCCGAGCGUUGUUCGGAUUCACUGGGCGUAAAGGGUGCGUAGGUGGCAUGGUAAGUUUGAUGUGAAAGCUCAGGGCUUAACCCUGAAAUGGCAUUGAAUACUACUGUGCUGGAGGUUUGGAGGGGGGGACUGGAAUUCUUGGUGUAGCAGUGAAAUGCGUAGAUAUCAAGAGGAACACCAGUGGCGAAGGCGAGUCCCUGGACAACACCUGACACUGAGGCACGAAAGCUAGGGGAGCAAAACAGG
rnacentral:rRNA from 1 species